rnacentral:ncRNA from 1 species
AGUCAGCAAAGAUAGCACUAUCAUCUGCAUAAAGAGAUAAGAGGACAUCAGUAUCUGAGGCAAUUGGAAUACCCGAGACACCUCUCGCUCGAAAUGAGAUCCCCGGCUUUCUUAAAAGUGAAGCCGUGGGAAUAGGAUCAGAGUGCCAAGUGGCCAAUUUGGUAAGCAGAACUGGCGCUGUGGGAUGAACCAAACGCAGAGUUAAGGCGCCUAAAUUGACGCUCAUGUGAAACCAUGAAAGGCGUUGGUUGCUUAAGACAGCAGGACGGUGGCCAUGGAACUUGGAAUCCGCUAAGGAGUGUGUAACAACUCACCUGCCGAAGCAACUAGCCCUGAAAAUGGAUGGCGCUGUAGCGUCGUGCCUAUACUCUGCCGUCAAUGACAAAGAUGAUUA